rnacentral:ncRNA from 1 species
CCGGGCCUUGUACACACCGCCCGUCACACCAUGGGAGUUGGGUUUACCCGAAGGCAGUGCGCUAACCGCAAGGAGGCAGCUGACCACGGUAGGCUCAGCGACUGGGGUGAAGUCGUAACAAGGUAGCCCUAGGGGAACCUGGGGCUGGAUCACCUCCUUU